rnacentral:rRNA from 1 species
AGGUCAAGCUAGUAAGGGCAAAGGGAGGAUGACUUGGCACCAGGAGCCGAAGAAGGACGUGGUAAGUCAUGAAAAGCUACGGGAGCCGCAAGCAGGCAAAGAUCCGUAGAUGUCCGAAUGGGGUCCCACUUGAAGUAAUAUUCAAGUAUCUGCUAGUGAAUAAAUAGCUAGUAGAGGGGAUACCAGGGGAACUGAAACAUCUAAGUACCCUGAGGAGUAGAAAGAAAAAUCGAUUCCCUAAGUAGUGGCGAGCGAAAAGGGAUAAGCCCAAACCGAAAGUUUACUUUCGGGGUUGAGGACAUAGCAAAAAAGGAGAGGUAUCGUAGUAGAAGAUGACUGGAAAGUCAGGCCAAAGAGGGUAAAAGCCCCGUAUACGAAACGAGAAGACUCUAAGCUAUGAUCCAGAGUACCACGGGACACGUGAAACCCUGUGGGAAGCAGGGGGACCACCCCCAAGGCUAAAUACUACCUGGUGACCGAUAGCGCAUAGUACCGUGAGGGAAAGGUGAAAAGAACCCCGGGGGGAGUGAAAUAGAACCUGAAACCCUUUGCUUACAAGUGUGGGAGCACGUUAAAGUGUGACCGCGUACUUUUUGUAGAACGGGCCAACGAGUUAUGAUAUGUAGCAAGGUUAAGGACUAAAGGUCCGGAGCCGAAGCGAAAGCGAGUCUUAAUAGGGCGAAAGUUGCAUGUCAUAGACCCGAAACCGAGCGACCUACCCAUGGGCAGGAUGAAGCGGAAGUAAAAUUUCGUGGAGGUCCGAACCAAUUGACGUUGAAAAGUCACUGGAUGACCUGUGGGUAGAGGUGAAAUUCCAAUCGAGCUCGGAGAUAGCUGGUUCUCGCCGAAAUAGCUUUAGGGCUAGCCUCGAUUAAAUGAGUUACGGAGGUAGAGCACUGAAUGACCCAGGCCUUCACCGGUUACCAAAGUCUAUCAAACUCCGAAUGCCGUAAACUUAAGAUCGGGAGUCAGACUACGAGUGAUAAGAUCCGUGGUCAAGAGGGAAAGAGCCCAGACCAUCAGCUAAGGUCCCAAAGUAUACGUUAAGUGGAAAAGGAUGUGGGAUUGCAUAGACAACCAGGAUGUUGGCUUAGAAGCGACCAUACAUUUAAAGAGUGCGUAAUAGCUCACUGGUCGAGUGAUCCUGCGCCGAAAAUGUCCGGGGCUCAAACGUAUCACCGAAGCUAUGGAUGUAGAAAUACAUGGUAGGCGAGCGUUCUAUGUGGGUAGAAGCUAUACCGGAAGGAGUAGUGGACUGCAUAGAAGUGAGAAUGUUGGCAUGAGUAGCGAGAGGCAGGUGAGAAUCCUGCCCGUCGAAAGCCUAAGGUUUCCUGAGGAAGGUUCGUCCGCUCAGGGUAAGUCGGGACCUAAGCCGAGGCCAAGUGGCGUAGGUGAUGGACAACAGGUUGAAAUUCCUGUACCACCAAGAAUCGUUUGAGAGAAGGGGGGACACAGGAGGAUAGGUCAAGCGCACCGUUGGUUGAGUGCGUCUAAGCAGGUAGGGAGAAAAGGCAGGCAAAUCCGCUUUUUCAUAGAUCCCGAGAUGUGAUGGGGAGCGAAAAAUAAGUAGCGAAGUGACUGAAUCCAAACUGUCGAGAAAAGCCUCUAUCGAGAUUUAAGGUGCCGUACCGCAAACCGACACAGGUAGGCGAGGAGAGAAUCCUAAGACGAACGGGAGAAGCAUUGUUAAGGAACUCGGCAAAAUGACCCCGUAACUUCGGGAGAAGGUCUUAAGUGCCGGGAUGUGUGAAGGCUUCGCGCCGUAAGCAUAACCCGGCCGCAGAGAAUAGGUCCAAGCGACUGUUUAGCAAAAACAUAGGUCUCUGCUAAGUCGAAAGACGACGUAUAGGGGCCGACGCCUGCCCGGUCUUUGGAAGGUUAAGGGGAAGUGUUAGGGUUAAGCUCGAAGCACAGAACUUAAGCCCCAGUAAACGGCGGCCGUAACUAUAACGGUCCUAAGGUAGCGAAAUUCCUUGUCGGGUAAGUUCCGACCCGCACGAAAGGCGUAACGAUUUGGACGUUUGUCUCAACAAUGCACCCGGUGAAAUUGUAAUACCAGUGAAGAUCUUUGGUUACCCGCGACAGGACGGAAAGACCCCGUGGAGCUUUACUGCAACUUGACAUUGGAUUUUGAUACUACAUGUACAGAAUAGGUGGGAGACUAAGAUACUAGGACGCCAGUCUUGGAGGAGUCGACGUUGGGAUACCACUCUUGUAUUAUUGAAGUUCUAACCAUGAGCCAUGAUCUGGUUUUGGGACACUGUCAGGUGGGCAGUUUGACUGGGGCGGUCGCCUCCUAAAGAGUAACGGAGGCGCUCAAAGUUACUCGGCAAAGACGGUCGGAAAUCGUGCGAAGAGUGUAAAGGCAGAAGGGAGCUUGAUUGCGAGACAAACAGGUCGAGCAAGGACGAAAGUCGGACUUAGUGAUCCGGCACCGAGUGGAAGGGCCAUCGCUCAACGGAUAAAAGCUACCCCGGGGAUAACAGGCUUAUCUCCCCCAAGAGUCCACAUCGACGGGGAGGUUUGGCACCUCGAUGUCGGCUCAUCACAUCCUGGGGUCAAGUAGGUCCCAAGGGUUGGUACAUUCGUUCGCCCAUUAAAGUGGUACGCGAGUUUGGGUUCAGAACGUCGUGAGACAGUUCGGUCCCUAUCCGUCGCGGGCGCAGGAAAUUUGAGAGGAGCUGUCCUUAGUACGAGAGGACCGGGAUGGACGUACCGCUGGUGCACCAGUUGUUCCGCCAGGAGCACAGCUGGGUAGCUAAGUACGGAAGGGAUAAGUGCUGAAGGCAUCUAAGCACGAAGCCCCCCUCAAGAUAAGAUUUCCCACCCGAAAGGGGUAAGACCCCAGAGAGACUAUCUGGUAGAUAGGUCGGAGGUGUAAGUGCAGUAAUGCAUUAAGCUGACCGAUACUAAUAGGUCGAGGGCUUGACCAAAA